rnacentral:misc_RNA from 1 species
CUAGAGGGAUGGGAGCGGGGAUGGAGGAGAUGGAGAUGGGGCGGGUUGAACGAUCAUUGAGAUUGAACGAUCAUUGAGAUUGAAGGGUCUUUGAGAUUGAACGAUCUUUGAGAUUGAACGAUCUUUGAGAUUGAACGAUCUGCCGUCCAGUCCAGUCGCCAUCCCUGCAGCCACCAUACAUUGGCGCUUGUAGAGUGUGACAGAGUAGAAGGAUGGAGUGUAAAUGA